rnacentral:rRNA from 1 species
UACGGAGGGGGCUAGCGUUGUUCGGAAUUACUGGGCGUAAAGCGCACGUAGGCGGCUUGUUAAGUCGGGGGUGAAAUCCUGGAGCUCAACUCCAGAACUGCCUUCGAUACUGGCGAGCUCGAGUUCGGGAGAGGUGAGUGGAACUGCGAGUGUAGAGGUGAAAUUCGUAGAUAUUCGCAAGAACACCAGUGGCGAAGGCGGCUCACUGGACCGGCAUUGACGCUGAGGUGCGAAAGCGUGGGGAGCAAACAGG